GUUUCAGCCGAGAAUUGAAACCGAUAGCGAAAAGGGGAGGGCAGAGGGACGGAGAUGAAAUGAAACGAAGCAAGAGCAUAGGGAGAGGAAGAAGCUGAAGAAAAAAACACCCCGCAAAAGAAGCAAGGGGGAAUAGUGAGAAAUCCGAGGCCCAGAGACAUCAAGAAACCUGCUCAAGGUCACACAGCUGGGAUGUGGUCAAGCCCCACUGAGCCCCUCUGAAGCCAGGUGGGGGCCUCCGGCACUCCGUGGGGAACCCCUGAUCACAGUGACUGCCAGCAGUUCCUUGCCUGGGCUCUGUGGGCAAUCAGCUCCCAGGGUCCAGGAAGAGGCACGUCAAGCAGCUGCCCUCAGCCCCCAGCUGACCCCGGAGGGACCAGGCCAGAGCUGGAUGGCACCGUGAGCAUCCCAGAUCCCACAGCCUGCAGUGGCCCCACCACCCACCGCCCACGGGCACUGAGCUUUGCCGAGGCCAACCUAGCCUCUGAUCUGCGCCUUACCAGGCGCCUCACACCAGCAGGCCCUCGCCUCUUGCCCAGUCCCCCGAGAAGUCUGGGGAGGCCUUGCUGCCUCUAUCGUCCCAGAAGAGAAGGAGCUUGCCAGGAUCCCAGGGAGCAGCCUGGGUCUCCUGCCUUCCUGGGUGGUAGCACAUGGCUGCCCAGGUGCCCUGGUGCCAGAGAGCCAUUCCAGCAAGGACUGGCUCUCGGGCACCAGGGCUGGCCCUGGGGUGGGCGAGCGCUUUCCCUUUGCCGUCUGCACCUCGUCCCCUGUCCACCACAGGAGGGGCUGCACCUGAGGGGGGCACCCGUCCCCCUCGGGGCUUCCCAGGGCAUGGGGGCCUGAGGUGCAGGUUACCUAGC